CAUCUUCCCUGGUGCUAGACUUUCAUCCUGAUCAGUCUCAUAUCCUCUCGUGGCUCCCUUACUACCCAUAUGCUGUUGAUUUCCAAAACUGUCUUUGGCCUGAGUUCACUUCAUUCAUGCCAUCAACCCGCUAGACAUUGCUACUCAUCUGGUCGCCCAAGACAGAAACCCUCAUUUUGUUUGUUUUUCCUGUCUUUUAAUUAUCGUUCUCCCUCCCACCCAGCAAGUUGGUUACCUCAUUUUAUCAGUUUCAUCUCUGACAUGCCUUUCAAAUGUAUUUCCUUAUCUCUAUUCCACUCACCACCAUAACUUAGUUUAGGCCUCGGUUUCUCCAGCCUUGACUGUUGUUCAUAACUGAGCUAAUAUCCCCUUUUAGCUAUGCUGUCAUCUCCCUCUUAAAAAAGAUCUCCAGAAAUAACUAAAAUGGAAGCUUUAUGAGGAGAGGAGUUUUGUCUCUCUGUUCCCUACUGCACUUGCACAUGCAGUAAUAAACCCCCAUAAGAAAAAACAACAACAACAACAACAACAACAAAAACCCCACACAAUCCAAAUCCUUUAAUAUGGCAUUCACUGUAUUUUCACUAUCUGUCCCAACUUACAGUCUCCUCUCUCCUACCUCUCCUCUCCCUGCCACUCCCCCUUACCUGAUUAUGUACUUCAGUUCUGCUUGUAUUUCAGUCCUUGUGUUCUCAGUCCCCUCCAUCUUUGCUUUUCUGUUUCUUUGGUCCGGACUGACUCAGCCUUAGGUCUAGCUUCCCUUUACUCAUCUUCCUUUCUUUUGGCUUGGGAAACUCCUAUUCAUCUCUCAGGAUGAAUAGUUCAUCAUCUCUGUGGAACUUUAUCUGACCAUGGCAGGCAAUCAAACCUUAACCUUUUUUCUCUGUAUUCUAUGAUUUAUUUCUGCUAAUGUGUUACUUAGCCCAUUACAUUAUAGCCAUGACUGUAGUAUUUCCCGUCUUUCUCACUAGUUUUGUUUUGAGCUCCCUAUGUUUGUCUUUGUAUUCCUGGUACCUAGUGCAAUCCCGAGCACAGGGAUUCAUUUGUGUGUGUGUGUUAAAAUAAAAUGAAUAUAAUGUAGAUGUGUGUAGCUUUUUGUAAGAGGCAGCAUCCAAUAUCCAAGAGCCCAAAAGAAUUAGUGCGUCAAACAGAUUAUAAACCAUUUAGAACAAAACCAAAUGCACUAAAACAACAAAAAUCAUGCAAAACCAAACAGCUAAUGAUAUCUUCUUUUGCUUUUUGUUUAUUAAUAAAAAUGGGAGUCCCCUGGGGGUUUGGGGCUUUUGAUUUGUUGUCUCUUUAUGAAAGUUUAUUUUACAGAUAGAAAAUUUUCAGCUAAGUAUUUUAUACUCAAGUUGAGUCUAGCACCUGAAAAUUCCAGACAAAUUUUAUUUCACUACAGCAAUGUAUUUAGUACAAAUCUUUAUCAGUUUAGAUGUUCUGGCUGGUACCUUGGAAUUACAUCAUGAUUAUAUAAUUAGAUUAUUUAAAAUUUUUCAUUAUUAGUCUCAAAGAUGUAGCAUUUAUAUAUCAUUUGAAACAUAUUUCUAUAAUAUCUUGUACAGAUAGUAGCUAUUUUACAGUUUUUCAUUUGCUAUCUUACUCUACAUUUCUCUUUUAUUAUAUAGAAAUAUGUUGGUGAGAAAGGAAUUGAUGUAAUUAUUGAAAUGUUAGCUAAUGUAAAUCUUAAUAAAGACUUGAGUCUUCUGUCACAUGGAGGACAAGUGAUAGUAAGUAUUCCUUUUCUUUUUUUUUUUUACCACUUUAAUGUUUUACCACAAUUUAACACUAUUUUACAGUAAUCUUUAACUGUAGAAUUGCUGUUUUUCAUAUUAGGUUGUUGGCAGCAGAGGUACUAUUGAAAUAAACCCACGGGACACCAUGGCAAAGGAGUCGAGUAUAAUUGGAGUUACUGUCUUUUCCUCAACCAAGGAGGAAUUUCAGCAAUAUGCAGCAGCCCUUCAAGCUGGAAUGGAAAUUGGCUGGUUGAAACCUGUAAUAGGUUCUCAAUAUCCAUUGGAGAAGGUGGCCGAGGCUCAUGAAAAUAUCAUUCAUGGCAGUGGGGCUACUGGAAAAAUGAUUCUUCUCUUAUGAUUAAUUCUUUCAUGGAUUUCCUAUGUAAUUAGAGGUACUGUCUUUCCCCCAGUUGUACUUACCCUAUCUUUUCUUUAAUUAACAUUCGAUUCCAUGAGCUUCUUAUGUGAAAAAAUAAGAUUUUUCUUUAGAGAGCAGAGGCAGAAGAGUAAAAUUCAUUGUAUAGCUAGCAAUAUUUUUUUAUGCCAUCUGUCUCAAAUCAAGGAGUCAUCAUAGUAGGAAAUAGCAUGUUAGUCAUCAUUUGGCAUGAGGAUGCAUUCCAGUAAUUGUUAAUUGAUAUUUCAUUAAUUCCAUACCUUUGAUUAAAACAUGCUAGUUCAAAAUAAGACUGCUUAGUUUCCAAGGGUUUUCAAGCCUACUUACCUUUAUAAAGGUUCUCUAGUCUCUGAUUAGCCAUGACUGUAUUGGACUUUGAACAUUUUCUCAACUAAAAACCUCUAUUCUAACCUCUAUUCUAAACUAAUCUUAUUUGGAUGUGUAAGUCUUUUGUAAAGGCAAGAAUAAUGUCCAGGACAAUUAAUUAGUUUUCUCAGUAUUUUCCCAAAUAUUAGAAUAUUUACUUCAUUAUUGGUUGGCUGCCAAUGACCCCAUAUGUUCUGUGAGAAUAGGAGCUUUAUCUUUGAUAUAAUACAUAGUCUCCAAAUAGGUAAUACUUCACAAUUGAUUAGAUUUUCAGAGUAGAUUUAGAGUUAUCUGUUUUUCUGGUGAGGGUCAAAUAUUUUUGUUGAAAUAAUUAAGCUCACAAAUUUGAUAAAUUAAGAAUUAUCUGCAUUUGUCUCAUAACAUAAUAAUGUGUAAUAAAGUCUAUAGAAAAUUAA
rnacentral:sRNA from 1 species